GGACUCGGAAUGGGCCCAGACAUUGCGGGCGGCCUCCGUGUGCCAAAAAUUGGCCACGGGCACAGCCGCGCCCAAAAAUGAGCUCCCGAAGGUCGGGUUCCAACACCCCCCAGAGGAAAAAUGGCCAAAAAACGGGUGCGCUAUAGCCUUGGUGGGGGGCGUGGGCGAAGUUCGUCCGCCGGACUCGGAAUGUCCCCAGACUUUGCGGGCGGCCUCCGUGUGCCAAAAAUAGGCCACGGGCACAGCCGCGCCCAAAAAUGAGCGCCCGAAGGUCGGGGCGCCAACACCCCCCAGCGGAAAAAUGGCCAAGAAACGGGUGUGCUAUAGCCUUGGUGGGGGGCGUGGGCGAAGUUCGUCCGCCGGACUCGGAAUGGCCCCAGACUUUACGGGCGGCCUCCGUGUGCCAAAAAUAGGCCACGGGCACAGCCGCGCCCAAAAACGAGCGCCCGAAGGUCGGGGCGCCAACACCCCCCAGCGGAAAAAUGGCGAAAAAACGGGUGGGCUAUAGCCUUGGCGGGGGGCGUGGGCGAAGUUCGUCCGCCGGACUCGGAAUGGCCCCAGACUUUGCAGGCGGCCUCCGUUUACCAAAAAUAAGCCACGGGCACAGCCGCGCCCAAAAAUGAGCGCCCGAAGGUCGGGGCGCCAACACCCCCCAGCGGAAAAAUAGCCAAAAAACGGGUGGGCUAUAGCCUUGGUGGGGGGCGUGGGCGAAGUUCGUCCGCCGAACUCGGAAUGGCCCCAGACUUUGCUGGCGGCCUCCGUGUGCCAAAAAUAGGCCACGGGCACAGCCGCGCCCAAAAAUGAGCGCUCGAAGGUCGGGGCGCCAACACCCCCCAGCGGAAAAAUGGCCAAGAAACGGGUGUGCUAUAGCCUUGGUGGGGGGUGUGGGCGAAGUUCGUCCGCCGGACUCGGAAUGGCCCCAGACUUUGCGGGCGGCCUCCGUUUGCCAAAAAUAGGCCACGGGCACAGCCGCGCCCAAAAAGGAGCGCCCGAAGGUCGGGGCGCCAACACCCCCCAGCGGAAAAAUGGCCAAAAAACGUGUGGGCUAUAGCCUUGGUGGGGGGCGUGGGCGAAGUUCGUCCGCCUGACUC
rnacentral:lncRNA from 1 species